GCUGGCGGCUCGGGAGGGGCUGGGCGGAGGCACCGGGAGUGCGGGGCCGCGGAACUCUGCGUGCGGCGUGCGCCCCACCAUGCUCCUCUACCGCAGCGCCGCGUGGUUCGCCAAGGGGCUGCGCGAAUACACCAAGAGUGGUUAUGAGUCUGCUUCCAAGGACUUUGUCCCUGAUGACUUGGAGGUCCAAGUUCCUGGGAGAUCCUUCUUGGUCACCGGCGGAAACAGCGGCAUUGGAAAAGCGACCGCCAUCGAGAUAGCCAAGCGAGGUGGCACAGUUCACCUGGUUUGUCGCGAUCAGAACCGAGCAGAAGGUGCCAGAGGUGAGAUCAUCAGGGAGAGCGGUAACCGGAACAUCUUCCUGCACAUUGUGGACUUGUCUGAUCCCAAGGCAAUCUGGGAAUUUGUGGAAAAUUUCAAGCAGGAACACACACUCCAUGUCCUGAUCAAUAAUGCAGGCUGCAUGGUCAAUAAAAGAGAGCUCACAGAAGACGGACUUGAAAAAAACUUUGCCACCAACACUCUGGGUGUGUAUGUCCUCACGACUGCCCUGAUCCCUGUGCUGGAGAAAGAACACGACUCCAGAGUGAUAACGGUCUCCUCUGGAGGAAUGUUGGUUCAGAAACUGAAUACCAACGACCUACAGUCAGAAAGGACAGCUUUCAAUGGAACUAUGGUCUAUGCACAAAACAAAAGGCAGCAGGUGGUUCUGACGGAGCACUGGGCCCGAGCGCACCCGGCCAUCCACUUCUCCUGCAUGCAUCCCGGCUGGGCUGACACCCCAGGCGUGCGGCUCUCCAUGCCAGGGUUCCACGCCAGCAUGGGGGACAGGCUGCGCUCUGCGGCCCAGGGCGCGGACACCGUGCUGUGGCUGGCCCUCGCCCCCGCCGCCACCGCGCAGCCCAGCGGCCUCUUCUUCCAAGAUCGGAAACCAGUGCCCACACACUUGCCUCUUGCUAGAACAUCGUCCUCACCGGCUGAAGAGGAGAAACUAAUUGAAAUCCUGGAAGAGCUGGCUCAGAGAUUUAAAUAGGCCAGGCCAGACCCAACAUGGGAAGGUGUGGACCAGAGGCCAGUGAGCAGACCCCACUUCUGCUUCCCCCCAUGGCCCUGGAGAUUGGCUCAUAUUCCACUGUUGCGCUUUGAGCUGGUUUCCCCUCCAUCUACGGUCACAGAAAUUAACCCCAUUCUUUAUAAAGCCCAGUUUUGAAGGCUUGAUCCACCACCACCUCACCGUGGGACCACAGGUCGGGUUACUUACCCUCUGGGGCUUCAUCUUCCCUGGCAGUAAAGAAGAUUAUAGUGGUGAAAAUCAGAUUUUUAAAAAAGACUUCAGGAUCCCAAGUUGAGUCACUACACACAAGAACACCUCAAUUUAUCAAGUUUGACUGGAUUCCCUUAAAGUGAGUUCUGCAGGUGUAUUUUCUACAGCCCCUCACCCCAUACAAGCCCAACAGGAACAGGGCAUGAGCUGCAGGGUUCAGUGUCUUCCAUGUCUCAGAUCACACAGGUUUAGUAUGAAAGUGUGCAAAGUAUUCAGAUAAAAUACAUGAAGAUAACAAUCUUUAAAUAUCUAGUUUUGAAAGGGGAAGAAAAUACAGACAGUGAAGAAUAAAAGCAGGCUACAACCUCAAAGCAAUGAAGACGUUCAAGUUCAGAGGUGACAUCACACGGAAAAACACAUCUUAAAAGACACUAUUCUUGGAGGACGCAAGGUUUUGUUUUUAAUAUGAGUGACGGAGAGCUGUGUCAAUAAAAUUAAAACAUAAAAGGAUCAGAAUUAGAAAUGAUCCAGGCACUGAGGGUUGAAGGUCUGAGUUAUGAAAAUGUGCCUCUGUGAUGAGAGUGUUUAGGAGCAGCUUUCUCCCAGCAUUUUUUUUUAAACGUGGGAAAGACAGAAAAACAGAGGCCGAAACACAAGAUCAUUUCCACUCCAUGAGAACGUGAGUGACCCCAACAUUACAAACGGAUGCUUCUCCAGGUGAUUCAAGAAGUCAGUUGGGAAACCCACAUAAAUGAUUUUCCAAAUCUCUCAAUGGAAGAGGAUUUCUAUGGAAGCAGAAACGCCGCAAAUAAACCGUAAAUGCCACCAACUCUGGCAAAUGGCAAGUGAAGGUGAGGGUGGAAACACAGAGAAGAAAAAGAUGCUGAUCACAGGAUGCAAGGCACGUGCCCAAGUGAAGGAAACAUGGGAACUACUUAACAACCACCCUUAUUUCUUCAAUGCACAAAGCAACAACGAAAAUGAAGUGCUGAAAAAUAUGAAAAUGAAACACCCCACACUCAGUUUUCAGGAUACUCCAGGAUACUCACAACAAUGUAGCACAGCCAGACUGUAUAAUCCCUUUGUUAAAAAAAUAUCUUCUUUUAUGUCGUAUGAACAAGUUGAAAGCGUUCCCUCGUGAGUUCACUGAUGCUCAGCGCUGUGGCGCGGCUGACCUGCAAACUCAGCUUCUCUCUUCCUUCUCACGCGUCUGCUUUCCCGCUCCAGUAAUGACUUGGAUUAGAACCACCAUUUCUUGAGUAAAUACUAUCUUUCUGAUGCCUGAGAGUGUCAUCAAGACACAACCGGGGUCAUAUCCCACAGCUGUAAAAAGAAGAGCUCUAAUGAACUACAAUUAAAUUGUGCUGAGGACCGACAGUCCUUACAACAGAAUUUUUAAAUUUAACAAGGAACUAAGUGUUGAACUAACAUCAUUCAUAAAUCUAUAAAACAGUAUUUGUCCACGAAAAAGUUUCAACAUAUCCUCAAAACCAGGGCAAUGGCAGCUGGAAAUUGUAAUCCAGUUGAUGGAGAAUAAAGGCAGAUUCGAUUUAUUUAAGGGGGAAGGGAAGUGACAUGUAUGAGGCAACAAAUGGUACCAGGAUGCGCUGUGUCCUCUACAUCUUAGCUAAUCUUCCAAACAGUUCUACAAGAUGUCUCAUAGAAAAUAAAGCAGCCAAGGCUCCCAUGAUUUACUUUAAACUUGCUCAAAGUCACAGAGCUGGCAGCUUCCAAAGGGGGUUAUUUUAACCACCUCAUCCUGCAGCCUCCAAGAAGGGACCAGAAUGGACCCAGGAAGUAGAGCUCAGUGAACCAGGUAAGCCUGUGUCUCAGAGAACGAUGCAGGGGUGGCCGCUUCCAUCCUGGGCCUCUGCUGUGGCACUGAAUCCACCGGUCCAGCACAGUCCUGAGAGAGGCCCUGGGGGGAUGCUUCUGGCUAACUGACCUCACUGGGAAAAGAUCUUGUUUAUUACUUGUUGGCUUCUUCAAUGCUCAGCUCAAACCCCACCUCUUUCAUGAAGCCAUCUCCAGCAGCACCGUCUCCCUCUACUGAACUUUUCAAGUAAUUCUUGCCUAUGUUACUCUUUUGGCUGCUGAACGUGCGACUAUUAUUAACUGUCUUUUUAAGAGUAUGUCCCUAGGAGAAUGGCUGUUCCUUUCAGGCAAGAGCCAUGUCUCACUUUGGGGUGUACAGCCAGUGCCUGUAAUGAGGUCUCAAAAAUGCUCGCUUUCAAGGGUAACCUUUUGAGCAGCCCUUACGCAGCCUUGGUGCCCCUGUAUAUCUGCAUAGGGCCAAAGAUGGGAAGCUUCUACAACAACAGCAUCCUACCUUAAUAACCUUGUCAGUUCCCGAAGUCAGUAACCAGCCUCUGGUGGGAUCAAAAUGCACAUGAACAAUAUUAUGUUUACUGUCAUGGAAGGUGGCGGUGGGCGCACGUCUGGAGGGAGCAAAGAAAGUUUCCAAGAGUUAAAGGCAGUAGUACAUAAAUGAAGGAGAUUUAGAGUGACAUUAAGGUCUAAUUUUUAGCCAAAUGGCCAAAACUACUUCACUGUUAGAACUGCUCCUCAGAUCCACCUCUAUUCCCUGAUGACACAUUAUGAUUAAAAAAAAAAGGAUUCUUAUAUAUUCUCCAAAAUGGUCAAGAGACGAUGAAGUUUCCAAAACUUUUCAAGAAUUUGUUGCUGUGAUAGACUCUGUGAGAAUCUCUAGCUGAGCUGUUGACAAACGUUUAAAAUAACCCAGUGCUUUUGCUGAGUUUGAUCUCAGAUGGCCUUGCUGGUAAAAUACCUUUGUCUAUUUCAUUUUUUAAAAAGCACGCUUGGUAAAAUGCCUAAGAUGCUACUAUCAUUCUAAUCCAAGGGCUAUUCAUUCUUUCUCCUUUUUCACUGGUCUAACUGCAGACUUAGUUUUUCUGCAGCAUUCUAAUGCUUUAACAAAUAACAUAACAUAUAAACAAGCACUGUUAUUUGCCUUUUAUUUUUUUAAUCUGUGCUUUUUUUUUUUUU